rnacentral:rRNA from 1 species
UACGUAGGGCGCAAGCGUUGUCCGGAAUUAUUGGGCGUAAAGAGCUCGUAGGCGGCUUGUCGCGUCGGGUGUGAAAGCUUGGGGCUUAACCCCAAGUCUGCAUCCGAUACGGGCAUGACUGGAGUUCGGCAGGGGAGACUGGAAUUCCUGGUGUAGCGGUGAAAUGCGCAGAUAUCAGGAGGAACACCGGUGGCGAAGGCGGGUCUCUGGGCCGAUACUGACGCUGAGGAGCGAAAGCGUGGGGAGCGAACAGG